rnacentral:sRNA from 1 species
AUUUGAUAUUUACUUUGUUUUGUGGAGAAUUGAGGAUUUAAAUCAACGUUUUCAUUAACUUGAGGAUUUUAGUGAUAUUUUCUCCGAAAAUGUUUUGUCCCAAAAAA